UGAAUGGGGAAUGUAUCAGGAAGGGACCAACGGGUAACGAUCACAAAAAUGGAGUGACUCGUUGCGGAGUUUCCACCCCGACACCCGGACCAGAUUGACUGGGAGCCUUCAGACCAUCUGUCUGCGCCACUGGCUUUUCGAGACAGGCGGGCGAUCAUCGACCCCGGCUGCAGGAGAACGGUACUGCCGGGUGUUGGCAUCCGCCUCCCGGAGCUACAGCCUGGGACGCGUUGUUCGUCUUUCCGCAUGAGAUCAGGACAAAUGCAUGCAGACUGAUUUUUUCUUAAACCAAUCUGUUCAGAGAUGUUAUGCCGCUGAGCGAGAUGGGACUUGAAAUUCGGGCUUCCUGGCCCAGAGGUGCCAGGCAAUGAACAUCUCCAGCUGACAAGAUUCUAACCUUCUCCUCUUGACAUUCGAUGGUAUAAAAAUUACUGAAUGCCCCACCAUCAACAUCCUGGAGAUUAUCAUUGUCCAGAGAUUUUACUGGACCAACCCCUUAAAUACUGGACUGCAAGAGCAGGAGUUUCCUGCACAUGAUUACAUUGUGUUGCUAGUGAACUUCUUGCAGAGUUGUUUGCAGUCAGGCAGAAAAACAAGUGAGCACAAAGCAAGACAGAAUGGAUGAAAGAUCCGGAAGUGAUUGAGGAUUGACACUGCAGACACCAGGGAAGGAUGACAAAGCAAAUAAAAGGGGUUACAGCGCCACCUCUGGAGCAACAGGAAUGAAAAAUAUCACAACUGUAUUGCCCAUCAAUUUUAAUAUCAAGAAAACAAGAACCUACAUUUAUACAUUGUUUUGCUGGACA